UACGUAGGGACCAAGCGUUGUUCGGAUUUACUGGGCGUAAAGGGCGCGUAGGCGGCAAUUCAAGUCAGUUGUGAAAUCUCCGAGCUUAACUCGGAACGGUCAACUGAUACUGCUUUGCUAGAGUACAGAAGGGGCAAUCGGAAUUCUUGGUGUAGCGGUGAAAUGCGUAGAUAUCAGGAGGAACACCGAUGGCGAAGGCAGGUCUCUGGGCCACUACUGACGCUGAGAAGCGAAAGCAUGGGGAGCGAACAGG
rnacentral:rRNA from 1 species